CGAUUUAUUUAGUACCUACUGUCUUCACAGUUCAGUGGCAAGCACUGACGUUUCACCUGUGAACCUAACUCUUUCAUCCUCUUCUCAUCAUCCAGUCUCUCAAGAAAUACAUAAUUGUGCCCCAGAAGGCUGGCCUGAAUCUCUUUCUGGACAGGCAGUUCAGCUCAGUGGCUAAGAGCCCAGGCCCUGGAGACGGACUACCAGCGUGGUCCCAUCUUAUCUCCGACGUUGGCUCACAUGGCUGUUCAUGGUGCCGACUUGUUGGAAUGCCCUUCCUCCUCCUUGGCAAAUUCCUCAUCAUUCUCUGAGACUUGAGCUCCAGUCCACUGCCAGCGUAGGAGCCCUCACUUCCCGAAGCAACCCGGUCACUCCCUGCUGCCCCAGCUCGGGCCCUCCACUGCCUUUUUCUUUCAGUGUCCCUUCCCCAUAGGGAUCCCUCGCUCAUGCCCACACUGGUCUCUGGGUACCUCGUAGCUAACACAGUGCUGGACUCAUGGUGGUGGUUAAGCUUGCGGGCUUUGGAGUCAGGCUGCGUGCGUUCAAAUGCCAGCUUUGCCACUUACCCACUCUGUGACCUUGGGCAAGCUGACUCAGUCUCUCAAAGCCUUAUUGGUCAAAUGGGAAGAAAUGAUCUGUCUUCGCUGCAGCCCGGCAUAACGAACGGAUGGGAUAAUACUGACUGCCACUCCAUGCCAGGACAGGGUUCAAGUUUAGCAUUUUAUGUUUUUACUCAUUUAAUCCUCACAACGAACCUUUAAAGUUCGAGCCGGUGUUGCCCUGUUUUCCCGACAAAGAAACGGAGGCAGAGAGAGGCUAAGCAGUUUGCACCAAGUCGCACAGCGGAGGAGCGGUAGGGCCAGGAUUCACACGGACGUCUGGCCUGGGGCUCACGCGCUUCACGCUCUGCAGGUGGAGGGUUUAGCUCGGUCCUCCCCACAGAGUAAGCGCUCAGUAAACACGAGCUGCGGUUUGUGGUGUGCGUCGAUAAGAGCCGAAGUCCACCGGAUUUCCCACCCCUACCACACCUGUGAUCCACGACUGGGCCAUGAUUUUCACGGCUCCUGUUCUUUUCCUCUCCUCCUUGCUGGGAGCCUAGCCUCAGAGAGACAGCACAUUGGGGUCAGUCCUCUGUCGCAGUGCCGGGUCAGCACCAGUGAACUUGAUGCUAAAUGGAGCCUUAAGUGUGCCAUGGGUUAGGGUCAGAACAGCACCAAGUCUUUGGGGAGGAGGGCGUGGGGUCAGCACACCUGCCCGGGGGAGAGAGGCGCAGACGGGGUGAGGAGCUGUCUGACUCCAGCUUGUCCUUUCCAAGCCCGUGCCCCUUGCAGUGCGCGGCCAGCACGUAAGUGUUGGUGAAAUCCGGCAACGAACGUGUGAUGGGUGGGUCUCCCACCUUACCUUGAUCAGAUUCAGAAUACAUUUACUCUCCGAGUGUUAAACGGACCAUUUAUAUAGUCAAGGGAAAACCUGCUAAGAGAAUUUAAUGACCCACAGGGGGUUUUGGAGAACCAGGUCUGGAACUGGUCACUGACCUCCCAUUUGAGUUGUGUGUGAUACUGGAUACCAGGUUUACAGGUGAUCGCUUCACCAACUUGGAAUCUUUGAUUUCCCUGAAUCCAGCACUGCCUUUGAAAGCUGAGCCCCUUCCUCGCUGUUCCCUUGGACACUUGCUCUGUAGGCCAGAUGGCCUUGCACAAAUACCUGCACGUUGGUGUAUUCUGGCUUCUUCCACAGCUGACCCACACAGCUAUGGUCCCCCUGAGUUUGCCUCGUUUUGGCAGGUUGUCCCCCAAACUUCAGUGGGAUGAGGUUACCCGGUAUGUGCAAGGCCUUGCGUUUUGUUAGGGGUCACAGAAAUACUCUAAUAAGUUGCCUUUGAGGAUGGAGCAAGGUGAGAAGCUCCCUGUCCAUCAACACGUUAGAGACCCCCUCAGGUCCCCUGUAGCACUGCCUUCUCCCUUCCAGACACCACACUCUUACUGCUUCCUGGCAUCAGCCCCUCUCUUGGGUCACCAGCUGGCUGAUCUGAGAAACAGAUUCCCCUGGGUGCUAAUGACUGCAGUAAGGUCAGACCCAAGAUCUUUGGGACAUCACCUGCAUUUUCACUGAGGCCCAGAACAUUACACCUUGGCUGCCAUCUUGAGUAGCACCUCUUCACCUACCAGCAGGCAGAUUCUUCAUGACGCUUGGGUGUCUGGUUCUAGGGAAAGCUACCUUCUGCUGUUCAGGUCUUAGGCUGUGUUCCCUGUGAAAUCUACCUCCACUGUUUGCCUCUAGGUGAAAAUCUUUUUGGUGCUGUAAGGAGCAUUUGGUUUAGACUACAUGAUCUUAAGUGUCGGGGUGGGUUUGGACUAUGCAUGGGGUGAGUGGCUGGUGUUGGGUGCCAGAGACACAAACAUGAAGAGGACAUGGUCCUUAUCAUCAUGGUCAUAGUCCGUGAUGUGUGAGGGACACAUGAACAGGUCAUCAGACUGUCAAGUGGAGAAGAGAUAAGAGCAGAGAAUUGGGGGCCAAAAGGCACCAGCCACGAGGGAGUCAGGAGAGGUUUCAGAGAGAAGAGGAUAUUGGAGUUGGGUCUUAAUGGAGAAGUAGGAGCUUGCUGGG